GACGAACGCUGGCGGCGUGCUUAACACAUGCAAGUCGAACGGAAAGGCCCUGCUUUUGUGGGGUGCUCGAGUGGCGAACGGGGGAGUAACACGUGAGUAACCUGCCCUUGACUUUGGGAUAACUUCAGGAAACUGGGGCUAAUACCGGAUAGGAGCUCCUGCUGCAUGGUGGGGGUUGGAAAGUUUCGGCGGUUGGGGAUGGACUCGCGGCUUAUCAGCUUGUUGGUGGGGUAGUGGCUUACCAAGGCUUUGAAGGGUAGCCGGCCUGAGAGGGUGACCGGCCACAUUGGGACUGAGAUACGGCCCAGACUCCUACGGGAGGCAGCAGUGGGGAAUAUUGCACAAUGGGCGGAAGCCUGAUGCAGCAACGCCGCGUGCGGGAUGACGGCCUUCGGGUUGUAAACCGCUUUCGCCUGUGACGAAGCGUGAGUGACGGUAAUGGGUAAAGAAGCACCGGCUAACUACGUG
rnacentral:rRNA from 1 species